rnacentral:misc_RNA from 1 species
UCCGGCUUAACGCCGGCAGUCCCCCUAGAGUGCCCAACUUAAUGGUGGCAACUAAGGGCAAGGGUUGCGCUCGUUGCGGGACUUAACCCAACACCUCACGGCACGAGCUGACGACAGCCAUGCAGCACCUGAACCGGCAGUCCCCGAAGGGAAAGUCCUGUUUCCAGGACGGUCCGCCGUUGUCUAGCCCAGGUAAGGUUCUUCGCGUUGCGUCGAAUUAAAGAACAUGCUCCGCUGCUUGUGUGGGCCCCCGUCAAUUCUUUUGAGUUUUAGCCUUGCGGCCGUACUCCCCAGGCGGAACACUUAUCGCGUUGGCUGCGGCACAGAGGGAUUCGACUCCCCCCACACCUAGUGUUCAUCGUUUACGGCUAGGACUAC